GGAGAGGUGGCUGAGUGGCUGAAAGCGGCGGUUUGCUAAACCGUUAGGUCGGGAAACCGGCCUCGGGGGUUCGAAUCCCCCCCUCUCCG
rnacentral:tRNA from 1 species